CGCUAAUACCGCAUACGUCCUACGGGAGAAAGUGGGGGACCCUCGGGCCUCACGCUAACAGAUGAGCCUAGGUCGGAUUAGCUAGUUGGUGGGGUAAAGGCCCACCAAGGCGACGAUCCGUAACUGGUCUGAGAGGAUGAUCAGUCACACUGGAACUGAGACACGGUCCAGACUCCUACGGGAGGCAGCAGUGGGGAAUAUUGGACAAU
rnacentral:rRNA from 1 species